rnacentral:lncRNA from 1 species
GAAACACUCUCCUUGGCCCACCACUGCAUUACUCAUGUGAGAUGAAGCCUGAGUGUCCUUUUCCAGUGCCUCCCACCUUCCAGGCACAGAAGAGCUACUGCAUUAGAUGGCGAAUUAUUUCUUUUAUCAUGGCCACUCUGUGUGUUAUGACCCUUCUAAAAGUGAUGUGGUAUUUCCAUGACAAUAUAGAGAAGUGAAAAUAUUAACGCCACUUUUACAGGGAAGGUGGCCUUUCUCCUGUGGAAGAUAAGUUAUGUGUGCAAGGGGUGGCAGAAUCUUCCUUUUUACAUUUUGAAAUUCUGCUGUGAUAUGAAGAGAGGUGAUAAUCUUGGGGAACUAUUGGAAAUGAAAAACUUAAUUAGGACUCCUCGCUCCCAGGGGCAUGGCAGGAAGCUGGGAAAAGCAUGCCUCCCCCCCUCACAACACCAAGAACAGAGGUUGAAGAGGCGCAAACUCACAGCUUUUAUUUUGAACCCAUAAGAGAACUAAUGUCCUCGGGCAAGCUACCAACUCAAAAUCUGAGGAAUGGCAGUGCCUCUAAAGGAAGAUGGAACACCCUCAUAUGCCAGGGCAGAUGGUGCCACACACAGGCCAAGAUGAGUUGAACAUUUGCGUAAACUGAGUUCCAAGCAGGAGCUGGAGAGGGCCAGCCUCCACACAAACCAGCAGACACCACACUUUCAGCUGGAGCGUCCUUCUGCGAGCUCUCUGCCUGCACGGAAGUCAUGCCCUUUCUCCUUGGAGCUCAGCAGCUCCCAUGGUCCUCGGGCCUGGUCCUCAGUGUGGACGACAUGGAGGGACUGAGUACAAUUUCUCUCCAUUCUUCUGGGACCUGGGUGAUACUUUGGCAAUUUCAGACUGAGUGGAAGAUGCUGUGAAUACUAGCUUCAAGUCAGGCUCCAUUUAAUCCAUUUGAAACACAGUGGGAUAAGCGUGUGUGUUCUCAUUUGAAAUUAAUAAUUUCUAGUGCGUGUCUUGUUAAACUGUAAGAGAUUUCUAACUUCAAAAUUUUAAAAUAUAGUCUGUAUUCCAGAUAUAACAGCAGUUCAGUGUGCAAGGUAGAUAGGCUCAUUAAUUUAUGUCGUCAAACUGACCCCGAAAGUGGUUCCUCAUUUGCUUCCAAGGGCCUUUCAUUGACUGCUCAUACACACGCACACACACAAUCAACUAUUCCUCAACCAUGAAAGAAGGAAGUCCUGCCCUGGGGUAUGUUGAGGGAAUCUGGAC